rnacentral:ribozyme from 13 species
GAAUCUGAGAAUGAGAAAGAGAGGAAGAAAAGAGAGGGAUCGUCUCUGACAUUUGGUUGAUUGUCUCUUGUAUAUUUUGUGUUUCUUUUAUCUCUUCUUCUUCUUCUUCUUCU